GUGGGGAAUAUUGGACAAUGGGCGAAAGCCUGAUCCAGCCAUGCCGCGUGUGUGAAGAAGGUCUUCGGAUUGUAAAGCACUUUAAGUUGGGAGGAAGGGCAGUAAGUUAAUACCUUGCUGUUUUGACGUUACCGACAGAAUAAGCACCGGCUAACUUCGUGCCAGCAGCCGCGGUAAUACGAAGGGUGCAAGCGUUAAUCGGAAUUACUGGGCGUAAAGCGUGCGCAGGCGGUUUUGUAAGACAGGCGUGAAAUCCCCGGGCUCAACCUGGGAACUGCCUCCAAAACUGCAUGACUAGAGUACGGUAGAGGGUAGUGGAAUUUCCUGUGUAGCGGUGAAAUGCGUAGAUAUAGGAAGGAACACCAGUGGCGAAGGCGACUACCUGGACUGAUACUGACACUGAGGUGCGAAAGCGUGGGGAGCAAACAGGAUUAGAAACCCUUGUAGUCC
rnacentral:rRNA from 1 species